rnacentral:rRNA from 1 species
CCCUUAGAUGUUCUGGGCCGCACGCGCGCUACACUGAUGCAUUCAACGAGUUUAUAACCUUGGCUGAUAGGCUUGGGUAAUCUUUUAAACGUGCAUCGUGAUGGGGAUAGAUUGUUGCAAUUAUCAAUCUUGAACGAGGAAUUCCUAGUAAACGUGUGUCAUCAGCGCACAUUGAUUACGUCCCUGCCCUUUGUACACACCGCCCGUCGCACCUACCGAUUGAAUGGUCCGGUGAAAUCUCGGGACGGCGGCUUGGUCGCUUGCGUCCGACUGCUGAAACUUGAUUAAACCAUAUCAUUUAGAGGAAGGUGAANUCGUANCA